rnacentral:rRNA from 1 species
AAAGUAGGGGAUCGCAAGACCUUACGCUUUUGGAGCGGCCGAUGUCUGAUUAGCUAGUUGGUGAGGUAAAGGCUUACCAAGGCUUCGAUCAGUAGCUGGUCUGAGAGGACGACCAGCCACACUGGGACUGAGACACGGCCCAGACUCCUACGGGAGGCAGCAGUGGGGAAUUUUGGACAAUGGGCGAAACCCUGAUCCAGCCAUGCCGCGUGAGUGAAGAAGGCCUUCGGGUUGUAAAGCUCUUUCAGCCGGAAAGAAACGGUUACGAUUAAUACCUGUAACUAAUGACGGUACCGAAAGAAGAAGCACCGGCUAACUACGUGCCAGCAGCCGCGGUAAUACGUAGGGUGCGAGCGUUAAUCGGAAUUACUGGGCGUAAAGGGUGCGCAGGCGGUUUUGUAAGUCAGAUGUGAAAUCCCCGGGCUUAACCUGGGAACUGCGUUUGAAACUACAAGGCUAGA